CAUACCGUGAUUUUUCGUGUUUUUAUUGGUUUGUGACUCGUAUUUUUCUCGGCCAUGAUUAUAAUUUUGCUCAAAACCUGAUAAGCUGGGCUUUUUUAACACUCACUUACUUUUACUGCAUUGUUUUUGGUUUAAUUCGAGUGCAAAAUUUCACUAUUCUUCAUCAGCUGCUGGCCAGCAUGGACCUCUCGGUGGCUCUGGAGCAGACUAGUCAGCAGGCGGCCACUGACAGCAGCGGCCCAGAGUCGCCGGCCGAGCCGAGCCCGCCGCCGGCCGGCAACACGACGCCGCCCGCGGGCUCACCCCACACCGACGGCGACACCCACAAGCUGUCACCGAGCUCGCCGGCCGCGCAGACGGCAGCGCUGCCGCCCAAGUCGGCCGCCACCGGCGCGGUGCCGCGACACCCGCUCUCCGUGACGCGCGAGCCGGGCCCCGACGACGUCAUCUUCGUGACGGGGUUCGGCCCGUUCGGCCACCACGAGGUGAACGCCAGCUGGCAGGCCGUGAGCCGACUGCACUCCAUGGGCGUGGGCGAACAGCUCGGCGCCAAACUCAUCAUCGAAGAGGUGCCGGUCAAAUACGAGUACGUGAUGCGCGAGAUCCCUCGGCGCUGGAAGCAGCUGCGGCCGCGGCUGGUGGUGCACGUGGGCGUGUCUUCGUACACGAUGACGCUGCAGCUGGAGCGCGUGGCGCACAACGGUCCGUAUUGUCGCGGCGACGUGCUGCAGCAGACACCGCCCGAGCAGCGCUGCCUGUCGGGUCAGCCGAGCACGCUCUGCUGCCGGCUCGACCUGGCGCGCACCUGCCGCGCUAUCGGCGGCAGCGCGUCCGCUAUCGACGCCACCGUCUCCGACGACCCGGGAAACUACCUGUGCGGCUUCAUCUACUUUAUGUCUCUGGCGCAGGACCCGGCGCGCACUGUGUUCGUGCACGUGCCGCCGCUGGGCAUGCCGUACACCGCCAACCAGAUGGCCACCGGUCUGGCUGAGGUGGUGCGGGACCUGUGGCACCAGGUGCUGCAGCUGGACCAGCCGCCGCCGCGGCCGCUCGACCUCUCCUGCUCGGACCAGCAGCGCCCGUGAGCGGCCGGCCGCUCGGCGCGCCGCCAGUCUGCCGCCGGAGACCGGGCGGACCGCGGACCGGGGCGGCUGGUCCCGGCUGCGGCCGACAACAUACUGCACUGGGUCCGGAGACGCUGUGUGUAGACUAGUGGGGGAGGAGACGCGGCCAGUGCUGUGGGGGACAGCUGACCACUAGGCCAUCAAACCGGCACAUUUCCCUCACAGAGAUGGCGCCGGGAAGUGUCACUAAAUUGUUCCUGGCAGCAGCUAAGAGGACGAAAUGUGAGUGCGAGUGUCAAUGAGUGAGUGAGGAUAGGGCCGACUUAUUUGCGAACCGCCCCGCUAGAUUGCCUCGAAAGGUGAACCGUUGACGACAGAGAUCUGAGUGAAGGGGUCUGGAAUACCCAGAGAGCCAUUGUACUGCGUGGGGGAUUGAGCGAUGUCGUCUGUGUGCGUGCUCCGAUGACUGAGCUGGCUGUGGGAGUGACUGGGGUGUCUGCUGGCCGCCUGAUCUGGGGCUGACCGUCUGACGGGAGGGCCUCAGCUGCCCGCGCCGACCUGGCCCGGCGCGCCCGCCUGGCGGCAGCUGGUUUUAGCUCUGUGCUUUCGACGCCGGUCUACUGUGUUGUAACGAGUGGGUCGUGACCGUGCCUGAUAUUGCCAACAGCUGCCGUGAGCUGGACGUUAACGGAGACUCCAGUGCAACGUGGCACCACUGUAGGGCCAAUCUGACUGGUGACCAGCAGCUUUACUGAACUGGAAGAGAACAUAAUCGUUUAUCUCUCUUUAGGAGAAUGUGCUCAUCCAAAAGUGGGACGCGAUUUUCAACCGUCUCUGACCUGUAUGAAGACGUGGCAAGUUUAUGCGCCUGGCAGCGAGAAACAAAUCCACCAUUGCCGCGAUGAAACCAAAACCGAUUGUUCUCAUAAUAUUGUUACUCUGCUUUGUCUUUCCCCACCCGUUGCACCCUUCCAAGGGUCGUAUGUCGCCCAAAUAUUGCAUCUAUUUUUAUAGCGGUGCAAUAUGCGCAUGACAAUGUAGCCAUAAUAGUUGCCUGUGCGGUGUUAUCGUAGUGCCCUGAAGGCCAUUCCAGUGCCGUCUGUGCCCGCUGGUCGCUCGGGACAGGACCCUCGCGGGCCUGGGGUGCGGCGAUGAGACGCGCUGUGCCGGCCCGCGGAGCGAUUAUUCCGCGGCAUCAGCCGUGCAGCCGACUGUGAUGUGGCAGGAACCAAUAAACGGUCUUUUAAA
rnacentral:misc_RNA from 1 species